UACGGGGGGAGCAAGCGUUGUUCGGAUUUACUGGGCGUAAAGGGCGCGUAGGCGGCGCAACAAGUCACUUGUGAAAUCUCCGGGCUUAACCCGGAGCGGUCAAGUGAUACUGUCGUGCUAGAGUGCGGAAGGGGCUACUGGAAUUCUCGGUGUAGCGGUGAAAUGCGUAGAUAUCAAGAGGAACACCUGAGGUGAAGACGGGUUGCUGGGCCAACACUGACGCUGAUGACGCGAAAGCCAGGGGAGCAAACGGG
rnacentral:rRNA from 1 species